rnacentral:rRNA from 1 species
CACCUGCGCCACGAGUGGUGAUCACUUUUAUUUGGCCUAAAGCGUUCGUAGCCGGAUCAGCAAGUCUUGGGUGAAAUCGUUACGCUUAACAAAACGGCGUGCUUGAGAUACUACUGAUCUUGGGACCGGGAGGAGUUAGGAGUAUUCCUGAGGGAGCGGUAAAAUGCUAUAAUCUCAGGAGGACUACCUGUGGCGAAGGCGCCUAACUAGAACGGGUCUGACGGUGAGGAACGAAAGCUAGGGGAGCAAACCG